CCACAAUCACCAGCUGACCAUGAUAUUAUUUACUGAAACAUCUUAAGUAAAAGUCUGCAAAGCUAUCAGUUUAUAAGUAACAGACAGGGAGCUGGGAAUAUUAAUUUUUUUUUUUUAAUAAAUGUGCUUUUGUUCACAAAAAAGUGAAAAAAAGGACAACAUCAACUCAGACAUACAUUAUCUGGUGUGCUACUCUCCCACUCCUUGGCAACCAUGAUAUAAUAACACCUGAUCUAGUCAUGAUCCUGAAGAAUUUAACAAAAAGAUCAUCAGUUGCUUUUAAAACUCAAAUACUCGGACAAUCCUGUAUUCAACAAUGCCUAGAAGGCAUGACUAUCCCUCUGAAUUUUCAUACCCACAUGAAGUCAUUCUGAAAGUACCUAUAUAAUAAAACUAUUACAUUUUUUCAAAGGCUCCUAUAUAACAUUACAUAUAUCCUGACCACCAAGCCAUAGGAAUGGAUUAAUUUCAACACUUAAAACACUUAAAUGGCUUUUGUGGAACACGUAUUAGUUUGAAUUCUGUGCCAUCUCUGAAUAAAUGGUAAAUUCAGAGUAACAAAUGAUAUUCAUGAAUUCAAACACAUUUACACUAGAUGGUAAUAAGGUUGUAGACAACUUGAAAGUACUAAUUAAAAUACACCAUGCACACUUUGGAGCAUAAGCAAAAUCAGCAACAUAUGUAAACAAUUUCAAGAAUGUAUAGCACCAACAUUUUAGCUGUAACAUAACUGCUGACUCUAAAGCCAUGCUAACAUAACAUUCCUUUCUCCUAAGAUAUUUUGUUUACUUUCAAAGCGCUUUAAAACAUGUUAUUUUGUUUUCUUUGCUCUUGUAACUGAACUGAGUGAAAUCAAAGAAAAUGAGUAUGGCAGUGUAGGCACUCUGACCACAAUGUAGUUUUGCAAUUAUCCUAAAUUCAGCACUCCUUUUGGUUACAAGAGAUGACUGCAGAGCUUCACUAGAAAGAAAAGUCAGUCUUAAUUUGAGUAAUAUUAUGUUACCUAGAAAAAGUGAAUUAUUCCAAAUGAUAUUCUACCAAUUUCAACAACAUACAUUUUAGAGAAAUAACAUUUUAA
rnacentral:lncRNA from 1 species